rnacentral:rRNA from 1 species
UACGUAGGGUGCGAGCGUUAAUUGGAAUUACUGGGCGUAAAGCGUGCGCAGGCGGUGAUGUAAGACAGAUGUGAAAUCCCCGGGCUCAACCUGGGAACUGCAUUUGUGACUGCAUCGCUGGAGUGCGGCAGAGGGGGAUGGAAUUCCGCGUGUAGCAGUGAAAUGCGUAGAUAUGCGGAGGAACACCGAUGGCGAAGGCAAUCCCCUGGGCCUGCACUGACGCUCAGUGCACGAAAGCGUGGGGAGCAAACAGG